rnacentral:rRNA from 1 species
GACGAACGCUGGCGGCGUGCUUAACACAUGCAAGUCGAGCGAUGAAGUUCCUUCGGGAGUGGAUUAGCGGCGGACGGGUGAGUAACACGUGGGUAACCUGCCUCAUAGAGGGAAUAGCCUUCCGAAAGGAAGAUUAAUACCGCAUAAGAUUGUAGUACCGCAUGGUAUAGCAAUUAAAGGAGUAAUCCGCUAUGAGAUGGACCCCGCGUCGCAUUAGCUAGUUGGUGAGGUAACGGCUCACCAAGGCGACGAUGCGUAGCCGACCUGAGAGGGUGAUCGGCCACAUUGGGACUGAGACACGGCCCAGACACCUACGGGUGCUG